CUGUGGUACAAGUCAAAUCCUCAUCUACACAAUACUGAGGGGGUAAAGGGUUAUUUUUUCGUGCAACGUGAUCACUGUUUUUAUUACAGGUUCAACAUGUUUUUACUUUUUUAUUUGACGUUCAAUCCUGCAAGACAGAUGCCUCCUUCAACAUGUUCUGCUCAUUGAAAUUUACAUGCAUCAUGAUUUUCAAAUGUUUAUUUUGUGUGCUCUGUAUUUUUCAAAUAAAUUUCGAACACUUAAAGGGAAAGGGGAUGUCAAGAAAUACUAUUUCAAAAGCCGUAAACCAAUUAUAUAAAAAAUGUGUAUACAAUGUACUAAAUCUGGAAUAUCAAAUCAAACAGAGUGAGAGAGUUAAAAUAUAUGUUCACAUCAAAGUAUUUAUUUUUCGUGCAACCUUCAUGACAGAAAUUAUUUCACGUUUAACAUGAAAUUAAGUCUUAAUUCACGAUUAUUCCGUGCAAGCAACCUCCUUUACCACCCUCAAUACUG
rnacentral:lncRNA from 1 species